GAAUGGCAUUAACGGUAUUCAUUACCGUCGCGUUAAGCAAUUAAAAAACUGGUUCUUUUUAAAAUUACCUUUACAAGGCAAAGUUCCUCUUAUUAAAGGUCUUGUUUAACUUUCAAAGCUGGAAGGUAAAUGUUGAAAAACAGUUAAACAUGGCAGGCGAAGACAGUUUGUCAAAGAUUGCAACCUUCAUCCAAGAAGGGAUGGCACUGAGAUCUCUAAUGACAGGUUUACGACCAGAGGAGCCUGUGCUACCCGAUAUAUUUACGCGGAUUAGUGACGAGCUGUUUGAUGACAUCGAAAAUAAACCCAUUGCUCUUCGGCAUGCAGUAAAAGAACACAUUUUUACAAGCCGUAAAGACAUUACAGAAGUACUCCUAAAUUUAUUUACCGGAUCUGGACCGAAUGCUAACAGGUACGAAGAUCUUCAAAAACAAGUGCUCGACCCAAAUUAUGACAACGCAAAUUCUGUAAUUAUUUCUAUUGCCUUGCAAUGUUAUUUGACAUUGACAUUUAUGUCGUGACAUCGGAGGAUGGUGACAAGUGUAAAUGGAAUGAAUACAAGUCAUUGAAAUUACUGAACAUUAAACAAGAAAUUAAGUACAGAGACAAAACACACACAUUUGAUGUCAACAUGAAUAGAAAAACCGGUUUCCUGAUGACGUACAUGCAUGUGGAUUUAAAUGGGCCGCAUAUGUAUAUAAUACGACCAACAUCAUCCGCUCGAUCUCAGCGACCGGAAUGCAAAGGAUUGGUAGAGCUGGCUGCACGGCAUUUGAAAUGCACUCCACUAGAUCAAAUUGCAAUGCCAGAAUCCCUGAUUGAUGAUGUUCAAAAGCAUGUCAAUCGGUUACCGCCAGGUAACAAGCGCAUCCGCUACUGGGCUGAAGAAUACUGUAUUGCAACAGACUGCUGGGAUAUUUAUGAAACGACAAUCGAGGUACCCAAUGAAGACUCCUGGCGUAGAUUAACAGCUCCACGGUCCGAUGAGAAACUCCGUCUGAAGUUAAUAAAACAUUUGUCAGACUGUUCAAAGGAACAGGUCUUAAUAUUCUGCAAGGUACGUACAUAUGCACUUAUGAACCCAAUGCUGUUAGGAAAUAUAUACUAAUUUAUAAAGUGAUCUUGUAAAAAUAUGUUAUAACACAACGUUGGGAGAGAGUUAAAUUAUUAGUUUCUCCUCAUAGAUUUUGUUUUGCUUGCAUAGAUGACGACCUCUUUAAAAAUGCUUAUUUCUACUACAUUGCGUUAUGUCUUUGAACGAAAUGUUGCUGAUAUUUGAAAUCGUGUUGACAAGAUGAAAUUAUACCAAGAGAUGAUUUCCUGUUGUAUACGAAUGCUCAAUUACACGAACUGUAAUAAUAAAAUUCAAAAAUGCAAAAAAACU